CUUUUAGUCAUGUUUAUAAACACAAGCAACUUUUUAUUCACACGUUUCAAAUAAUUGAUUAGUAUUACUCAAUUAUCGAUAACUUAUUUUUAUCAAAUGCUUGUGAUAUUUGUACAAAGUUAAAGCCAGCAGAUAACUCUAAAAGUACAAGGGUGUAGGAAAAAGACUUUUCAUUUAGCCGUAACAGAUGUCUCUUAAUGUUAAAUUGCAGGGAAGAUUAGGAAGCCCUCUUGGGAGGAGCCAUAUUGCGCGUAAGAGAGGAGGUCACACCGAUUGUAACUAUCUGCACAAUUACUUCUGCAAAGUAGAUGGUGCAAUUCAAAAUAAUUUAAAAACAACCAUGUCGAACAUAAGGAUUAUAGCCAAGUUAAAUGAACAUACCAAAAAGAACAGCAGCAACCUUGAACAUCUUAGCCAUCGAUGUCUCCCACUUGCUGAAAUCUUCGAUGAGCUGUUCCAUAUAAGCAAGGUAAUGUAAUAAUGAAUAAUGAUAUUAAUAUUACAUUACCAUAUGUGCAUGUUACUGAAAUAAACCUCUUUAAGCUUUAAUGCUCCUAUUCUUUUCAAUUCUGCGAAGAACAAUUUUCAGUUUGAGAACAGAAUAUUCACUCACAAACUUGGAGAAUGGUGUUUCUCAUUGGUAUAAUAAUUAACAUUAUUUCCCUCUUUGUAACUUGCAUUAUGAUCGAUAAAUGCAUGUACUAGAACUACAGCGUAUUACCACAUCAAUAUCAAAACAAUAUACGAUUGAAGAAAACUCUGGACUAUUUUUACCUCAAAUAAUUUUUCACUCUUGACGAGAAAGGCUACUGAGAUUACAGCAGCAAUUACAAACCAAACAAAUACAGCUUCAGAAAGAUGCUGUGGCUUCACUUUCGACCUU
rnacentral:lncRNA from 1 species